rnacentral:rRNA from 1 species
AUUGAACGCUGGCGGCAUGCCUUACACAUGCAAGUCGAACGGUAACGCGGGGCAACCUGGCGACGAGUGGCGAACGGGUGAGUAAUGCAUCGGAACGUGCCCAGUAGUGGGGGAUAACUGCUCGAAAGAGCAGCUAAUACCGCAUACGACCUGAGGGUGAAAGCGGGGGAUCGCAAGACCUCUUGUUAUUGGAGCGGCCGAUUGCUGAUUAGCUAGUUGGUGGGGUAAAGGCCUACCAAGGCAACGAUCAGUAGCGGGUCUUAGAGGACGACCCGCCACACUGGGACUGUGACACGGUCCAGACUCCUGAGCGAGGCAGCAGUGGGGAAUCUUGGACAAUGGGCGCAAGCCUGAUCCAGCAAUGCCGCGUGCGUGAAGAAGGACUUCGGGUUGUAAAACGCUUUUGUCAGGGAGCAAAUCCUUGUGGCUAAUACCCACCGGGGAUGAGAGUACCUGAAGAAUAAGCACCGGCUAACUACGUGCCAGCCGCCGCGGUAACAC